AGCCAUCAGAACAAUGAUGUCACCACCCAUCAUCCAGCCACUGGAAAACGCCACUGUACAGUCCAAGAGGGUAAGAGUGGAAAAGGCAAACAACAGAGAGGAGCAGCCUGAAGCUCCAGAUGGAAAUGCGUGCUCUGAUGAAUGGCUUUCGGCAGGAAACUUUUGCCUGAAUUUUGGACGGACUGAGUAUCACCGGCAAACCCUCAUCUCCCUCUGGUACCCACAGUGGAACUCACAAUGGAAAGUAGCUGAAGAUGGUGCCUGUCAACAAUCCAAAAUGUCGACACUGUAGGUCACUAUUUAGACAUAUAAAAAUACACUUACGAUAUCAGACUCAGUGAGAUUAGCAGAAUGCAUAAUUUGCAUAAAACGAUUGAGUGCUAUGGCAGAUUGUACUUCUCAAAGUUGGCGGCAGAGUAUCUUCUAUUCACCUGCUUUCUAAAACCUACUUGGACCCUGCUCUCAUUAAAAGGUGGGAUCUUUGUUUCCUCUUCUUGAAUCUAGACAGGCUUGUAACUUAACGUGUAACCGAAAGAAUGAAGCAAAGUGAUGCUGCAUGACUUCCAAGUCUAGGUCACAAUAGACUCACCUUGGUUGCUGGAACACCUGUGGUUGGAGCCACCAAGUAAGAAGUCUGACAGCCUGUAAUCCCAGCACUUUGGAAGGCCGAGGUGGGUGGAUCACGAGGUCAAGAGGUCGAGACCAUCCUGGUCAACAUGGUGAAACCCUGUCUCUACUAAAAAUACAAAAAAUUAGCUGGGCACAGUGGCGCGUGCCUGUAAUCCUGGCUACUCAGGAGGCUGAGGCAGGAAAAUUGCCUGAACCCUGGAGGCGGAGGUUGCAGUGAGCCGAGAUCGCGCCAUUGCACUCCAGCCUGGGUAACAAGAGCGAAACUCCGUCUCAAAAAAAAAAAAAAAAGUCUGACGACCAUGCCACAAGGCAGCUUAAGCCACAUGGAAAGGCCUCUUUUUCCCACUCCAGCCUGCUGUCCUAGUGUUUGAGUCCUCCCAGCCGGGGGCCAGACAUGCUCAUGAAUGGGCCUUCCAAGGCAAAGAUACACUGUCUCUAUGGUUCCCUUGAUUAAAAUUCCUGAACCACAGGAACCAAAAGCAUCACAAAAUGGUCAUUUUAAGCUCAUAAACUUCAGUGUGAUGUGUUACACAGCUAUAGUAACCGAAACAAACACUAAU
rnacentral:lncRNA from 13 species